rnacentral:rRNA from 1 species
UACGAAGGAUCCAAGCGUUAUCCGGAUUUAUUGGGUUUAAAGGGUGCGUAGGCGGACUAUUAAGUCAGUGGUGAAAGCCUGCAGCUUAACUGCAGAACUGCCAUUGAUACUGAUGGUCUUGAGUACAAUUGAGGUGGGCGGAAUGUGUCGUGUAGUGGUGAAAUACUUAGAUAUGACACAGAACUCCGAUUGCGAAGGCAGCUCACUAAACUGUAACCGACGCUGAGGCACGAAAGCGUGGGGAUCAAACAGG